ACGGAAGGCAGCAGUGGGGAAUAUUGCACAAUGGGGGAAACCCUGAUGCAGCGACGCCGCGUGAAGGAAGAAGUAUCUCGGUAUGUAAACUUCUAUCAGCAGGGAAGAAAGUGACGGUACCUGACUAAGAAGCCUCGGCUAACUACGUGCCAGCAGCCGCGGUAAUACGUAGGGGGCAAGCGUUAUCCGGAUUUACUGGGUGUAAAGGGAGCGCAGACGGCAAAGCAAGUCUGAAGUGAAAGCCCGGGGCUCAACCCCGGGACUGCUUUGGAAACUGUUUAGCUAGAGUACUGGAGAGGUAAGCGGAAUUCCUAGUGUAGCGGUGAAAUGCGUAGAUAUUAGGAAGAACACCAGUGGCGAAGGCGGCUUACUGGACAGCAACUGACGUUGAGGCUCGAAAGCGUGGGGAGCAAACAGGAUUAGAUACCCUGGUA
rnacentral:rRNA from 1 species